AUUGAACGCUGGCGGCAGGCCUAACACAUGCAAGUCGAGCGGAUGAAGGGAGCUUGCUCCUGGAUUCAGCGGCGGACGGGUGAGUAAUGCCUAGGAAUCUGCCUUGUAGUGGGGGAUAACGUCCGGAAACGGGCGCUAAUACCGCAUACGUCCUGAGGGAGAAAGUGGGGGAUCUUCGGACCUCAAGCUAUCAGAUGAGCCUAGGUCGGAUUAGCUAGUUGGUGGGGUAAAGGCCUACCAAGGCGACGAUCCGUAACUGGUCUGAGAGGAUGAUCAGUCACACUGGAACUGAGACACGGUCCAGACUCCUACGGGAGGCAGCAGUGGGGAAUAUUGGACAAUGGGCGAAAGCCUGAUCCAGCAAUGCCGCGUGUGUGAAGAAGGUCUUCGGAUUGUAAAGCACUUUAAGUUGGGAGGAAGGGCAGUAAGUUAAUACCUUGCUGUUUUGACGUUACCAACAGAAUAAGCACCGGCUAACUUCGUG
rnacentral:rRNA from 1 species